UAAGGGCGCACGGUGGAUGCCUUGGCACUAGAAGCCGAUGAAGGACGUUACUAACGACGAUAUGCUUUGGGGAGCUGUAAGUAAGCUUUGAUCCAGAGAUUUCCGAAUGGGGAAACCCAGCAUGAGUUAUGUCAUGUUAUCGAUAUGUGAAUACAUAGCAUAUCAGAAGGCACACCCGGAGAACUGAAACAUCUUAGUACCCGGAGGAAGAGAAAGAAAAUUCGAUUCCCUUAGUAGCGGCGAGCGAAACGGGAAGAGCCCAAACCAACAAGCUUGCUUGUUGGGGUUGUAGGACACUCUAUACGGAGUUACAAAGGACGACAUUAGACGAAUCAUCUGGAAAGAUGAAUCAAAGAAGGUAAUAAUCCUGUAGUCGAAAAUGUUGUCUCUCUUGAGUGGAUCCUGAGUACGACGGAGCACGUGAAAUUCCGUCGGAAUCUGGGAGGACCAUCUCCUAAGGCUAAAUACUCUCUAGUGACCGAUAGUGAACCAGUACCGUGAGGGAAAGGUGAAAAGCACCCCGGAAGGGGAGUGAAAUAGAACCUGAAACCGUGUGCUUACAAGUAGUCAGAGCCCGUUAAUGGGUGAUGGCGUGCCUUUUGUAGAAUGAACCGGCGAGUUACGAUUUGAUGCAAGGUUAAGCAGUAAAUGUGGAGCCGUAGCGAAAGCGAGUCUGAAUAGGGCGUUUAGUAUUUGGUCGUAGACCCGAAACCAGGUGAUCUACCCUUGGUCAGGUUGAAGUUCAGGUAACACUGAAUGGAGGACCGAACCGACUUACGUUGAAAAGUGAGCGGAUGAACUGAGGGUAGCGGAGAAAUUCCAAUCGAACCUGGAGAUAGCUGGUUCUCUCCGAAAUAGCUUUAGGGCUAGCCUCAAGUGAUGAUUAUUGGAGGUAGAGCACUGUUUGGACGAGGGGCCCCUCUCGGGUUACCGAAUUCAGACAAACUCCGAAUGCCAAUUAAUUUAACUUGGGAGUCAGAACAUGGGUGAUAAGGUCCGUGUUCGAAAGGGAAACAGCCCAGACCACCAGCUAAGGUCCCAAAAUAUAUGUUAAGUGGAAAAGGAUGUGGCGUUGCCCAGACAACUAGGAUGUUGGCUUAGAAGCAGCCAUCAUUUAAAGAGUGCGUAAUAGCUCACUAGUCGAGUGACACUGCGCCGAAAAUGUACCGGGGCUAAACAUAUUACCGAAGCUGUGGAUUGUCCUUUGGACAAUGGUAGGAGAGCGUUCUAAGGGCGUUGAAGCAUGAUCGUAAGGACAUGUGGAGCGCUUAGAAGUGAGAAUGCCGGUGUGAGUAGCGAAAGACGGGUGAGAAUC
rnacentral:rRNA from 1 species